rnacentral:tRNA from 1 species
GGCAAGGUGGCCGAGUGGUUAUGGCGUGCGGUUCAGGUCCGCAUGGUGCAAACCGCGUGGGUUCGAAUCCCACCCUUGUCA